CACGUAGGGCGCAAGCGUUGUCCGGAAUUAUUGGGCGUAAAGAGCUCGUAGGCGGUCUGUUACGUCUGCUGUGAAAACCCGGGGCUUAACCCUGGGCUUGCAGUGGAUACGGGCAGACUAGAGGCAGGUAGGGGAGAAUGGAAUUCCCGGUGUAGCGGUGAAAUGCGCAGAUAUCGGGAGGAACACCGGUGGCGAAGGCGGUUCUCUGGACAACUCCUGACACUGAGGCACGAAAGCUAGGGGAGCAAACAGG
rnacentral:rRNA from 1 species